AAAAACUGAGGUGGUAUACGAUGGUUCCGCGUCUGAUUAGCUAGUUGGUGGGGUAAAAGCCUACCAAGGCGACGAUCAGUAGCCGGCCUGAGAGGGUGAACGGCCACAUUGGGACUGAGACACGGCCCAAACUCCUACGGGAGGCAGCAGUGGGGAAUAUUGCACAAUGGGGGAAACCCUGAUGCAGCGACGCCGCGUGAGUGAAGAAGUAUUUCGGUAUGUAAAGCUCUAUCAGCAGGGAAGAAAUACUGACCAUAGGGUCAGCAGACGGUACUUGACUAAGAAGCCCCGGCUAACUACGUGCCAGCAGCCGCGGUAAUACGUAGGGGGCAAGCGUUAUCCGGAUUUACUGGGUGUAAAGGGAGCGUAGACGGCAGCGCAAGUCUGAAGUGAAAUGCCAGGGCUUAACCCUGGAACUGCUUUGGAAACUGUGCAGCUAGAGUGCAGGAGAGGUAAGUGGAAUUUCUAGUGUAGCGGUGAAAUGCGUAGAUAUUAGGAGGAACACCAGUGGCGAAGGCGGCUUACUGGACUGUAACUGACGUUGAGGCUCGAAAGCGUGGGGAGCAAACAGGAUUAGAUACCCUGGUAGUCCACGCUGUAAACGAUGAUUACUAGGUGUUGGGGGACCAAGGUUCUUCG
rnacentral:rRNA from 1 species